rnacentral:lncRNA from 1 species
CUUGGCUAAACAGUGAAAUCCUUGCUGACCUUAAAUGCAAAAAAGAAGCUUACAAGAAGUGGAAGACUGGACAAAUGACCAGGGAGGACUAUAAAAAUAUUGCUCAGGCGUGCAGGAGUGAAAUCAGGAAGGCCAAAUCACACUUGGAGUUGCAGCUAGCAAGGGAUGUUAAGAGUAAUAAAAAGGGUUUCUUCAGGUAUGUUAGCAACAAGAAGAAAGUCAAGGAAAGUGUGGGCCCCUUACUGAAUGAGGGAGGCAACCUAGUGACCAAGGAUGUGGAAAAAGCUAAUGUACUCAAUGCUCUUUUUGCCUCUGUCUUCACAAACAAGGUCAGCUUCCAGACUGCUGCACUGGGCAGCACAAUAUGGGGAGAAGGUGACCAGCCCUCUGUGGAGAAAGAAGUGGUUCGCGACUAUUUAGAAAAACUGGAUGUGCAUAAGUCCAUGGGGCCGGAUGCGCUGCAUCUGAGGGUGCUAAAGGAGUUGGCGGACGAGAUUGCAGAGCCAUUAGCCAUUAUUUUUGAAAACUCACGGCGAUCAGGGGAGGUCCCGGAUAACUGGAAAAAGGCUAAGGUAGUGCCCAUCUUUAAAAAAGGGAAGAAGGAGAAUCCGGGGAACUACAGGCCAGUCAGCCUCACCUCAGUCCCUGGAAAAAUCAUGGAGCAGGUCCUCAAGGAAUCAAUUAUGAAACACUUAGAGGAGAGGAAAGUGAUCAGGAACAGUCAGCAUGGAUUCACCAAGGGGAAGUCGUGCCUGACUAACCUAAUUGCCUUCUAUGACAAGAUAACUGGCUCUGUGGAUGAAGGGAAAGCAGUGGAUGUGUUAUUCCUUGACUUUAGUCUAGUUGGCAGCCGGUUUCAAGCGGAGUGCCCCAAGGGUCGGUCCUGGGGCCGGUUUUGUUUAAUAUCUUUAUUAAUGAUCUGGAGGAUGGUGUGGACUGCACUCUCAGCAAGUUUGCAGAGGACACUAAACUAGGAGGCGUGGUAGAUACACUAGAGGGUAGGGAUUGGAUACAGAGGGACCUAGACAAAUUAGAGGAUUGGGCCAAAAAAAACCUGAUGAGGUUCAACAAGGACUAGUGCAGAGUCCUGCACUUAGGACAGAAGAAUCCCAUGCACUGCUACAGCCUAGGGACCGAAUGGCUAGGUAGCAGUUCUGCAGAAAAGGACCUAGGGGUCACAGUGGACGAGAUGCUGGAUAUGAGUCAACAGUGUGCUCUUGUGGCCAAGAAGGCUAA